CGGGUGAGUAACGCGUGGGUAACCUGCCCUAUGGAAAGGAAUAGCCUCGGGAAACUGGGAGUAAUGCCUUAUAAUACAUUGAAGUCGCAUGGCUUUGAUGUUAAACGCUCCGGUGCCAUAGGAUGGACCCGCGUCCCAUCAGCUAGUUGGUGAGAUAACAGCCCACCAAGGCGACGAUGGGUAACCGGUCUGAGAGGGCGAACGGUCACACUGGAACUGAGACACGGUCCAGACUCCUACGGGAGGCAGCAGUGGGGAAUAUUGCGCCAAUGGGGGAAACCCUGACGCAGCAAUACCGCGUGAGUGAAGAAGGUUUUCGGAUCGUAAAGCUCUGUUAUUGGGGAAGAAAAAAGACGGUACCCAAGAAGAAAGUCCCGGCUAACUACGUGCCAGCCGCCGC
rnacentral:rRNA from 1 species